AUUUUAUCGGCGGAGGCGGCGGGGGAGCUUUCGGAGUAUUCCUCGGCGGAGGUGGCGGCGGCGGCGCUGAGAAUUUACUUGCAUGUGGCGGCAGAGGCGGAGGCGGUGGUGCUGCUCUCGCUUCUUGCUUCGGCGGCGGUGGAGGUGGCGGCGGAGCUGAACGAGGCGGAGGAGGUGGCAACGGAGGACUGGGUUUAGGCUUCUCGACGGCGGCGACGGUCAAGGCAAUCUCGCCGCUGGAAACAGAGGACGCGUUUCUGGACGGAAAACGGUAAUUCGGCGGCGGGAUCGGGAACUGAGAAGU
rnacentral:lncRNA from 1 species